AGUGAACGCUGGCGGUAGGCCUAACACAUGCAAGUCGAACGGCAGCACAGUAAGAGCUUGCUCUUACGGGUGGCGAGUGGCGGACGGGUGAGGAAUACAUCGGAAUCUACUUUUUCGUGGGGGAUAACGUAGGGAAACUUACGCUAAUACCGCAUACGACCUACGGGUGAAAGCAGGGGAUCUUCGGACCUUGCGCGAUUGAAUGAGCCGAUGUCGGAUUAGCUAGUUGGCGGGGUAAAGGCCCACCAAGGCGACGAUCCGUAGCUGGUCUGAGAGGAGGGUCGGCCACAUGGGAAAGUGAACACCGUCCAGGCGCCUAAGGGAGGCAGCAGUGGGGAAUAUUGGACAAUGGGCGCAAGCCUGAUCCAGCCAUACCGCGUGGGUGAAGAAGGCCUUCGGGUUGUAAAGCCCUUUUGUUGGGAAAGAAAAGCAGCAGGUUAAUACCCCGCUGUUCUGACGGUACCCAAAGAAUAAGCACCGGCUAACUUCGUG
rnacentral:rRNA from 1 species